UACAGAGGGGGCGAGCGUUGUUCGGAAUUACUGGGCGUAAAGGGCGCGUAGGCGGCCUCUUAAGUCGAACGUGAAAUCCCCGGGCUCAACCCGGGAACUGCGUCCGAUACUGGGGGGCUUGAAUCCGGGAGAGGGAUGUGGAAUUCCAGGUGUAGCGGUGAAAUGCGUAGAUAUCGAGAGGAACACCUGCGGCGAAGGCGGGUUGCUGGGCCGACACUGACGCUGAUGCGCGAAAGCCAGGGGAGCGAACGGG
rnacentral:rRNA from 1 species